rnacentral:sRNA from 1 species
GCUGGGCAUGGUGGUACACACCUGUAAUCCCAGUGACUUGGGAGGCUGAGGCAGGAGGAUUACAACGUUGAGGCCACCCUGGGCAAUUCAAUGUGAUCCUGUUUCCU